rnacentral:rRNA from 1 species
CCCUUAGAUGUUCUGGGCCGCACGCGCGCUACACUGACGAUGUCAACGAGUCUCUCCUUGGCCGAAAGGUCUGGGUAAUCUUCUGAAACAUCGUCGUGCUGGGGAUAGAUCAUUGCAAUUUUUGGUCUUGAACGAGGAAUUCCUAGUAAGCGCGAGUCAUCAGCUCGCGUUGAUUACGUCCCUGCCCUUUGUACACACCGCCCGUCGCUACUACCGAUUGAAUGGUUUAGUGAGGACUCCUGAUUGGCGCCGCCGCCCCGGCAACGGAGCAGUGGACUGCCGAAAAGUUGUUCAAACUUGAUCAUUUAGAGGAAGUAAAAGUCGUAACA